UACGUAGGGGGCAAGCGUUGUCCGGAUUUAUUGGGCGUAAAGAGCGUGUAGGCGGUUCGGUAAGUCUGUCGUGAAAUCCUGAGGCUCAACCUUGGACGUGCGAUGGAUACUGCCGGGCUAGAGGAUGGUAGAGGCGAGUGGAAUUCCCGGUGUAGCGGUGAAAUGCGCAGAUAUCAGGAGGAACACCGGUGGCGAAGGCGGGUCUCUGGGCAACAACUGACGCUGAGGAGCGAAAGCGUGGGGAGCGAACAGG
rnacentral:rRNA from 1 species